AACGCACAUUGCGCCCGCUAGUAUUCUGGCGGGCAUGCCUGUUCGAGCGUCAUUUCAACCCUCAAGCCUAGCUUGGUGUUGGAGAUCAGCCCUAAACCGCUGUCUCUGAAAUAUAGUGGCUGUCUCGCUGUAGCUUCCUCUGCGUAGUAAUUUUUCUCGCUCUGGAGUCUCGGUGCGGCCACGCCGUUAAACCCCCCACUCUUUAAGGUUGACCUCGAAUCAGGUAGGAAUACCCGCUGAACUUAA
rnacentral:misc_RNA from 1 species